UUGGGAGAUAUACCUAAUGCUAGAUGAUGA
rnacentral:piRNA from 1 species